GUGCUUGCUUCGGCAGCACAUAUACUAACAUUGGAAUGAUACAGCAAAGAUUAGCAUGGCUCCUGUGCAAGGAUGAUACGCAAAUUCGUGAAGCAUUCCAUAUUUUU
rnacentral:snRNA from 1 species